rnacentral:sRNA from 1 species
CCCGCCAGUAAACUGGCGGGCUAUUUUCAUCCGUCCCCGCGGGACG